AUUGAACGCUGGCGGCAUGCCUUACACAUGCAAGUCGAACGGCAGCACGGGAGCAAUCCUGGUGGCAAGUGGCGAACGGGUGAGUAAAGUAUCGGAACGUGCCCAGUCGUGGGGGAUAACGUAGCGAAAGUUACGCUAAUACCGCAUACGAUCUAUGGAUGAAAGCGGGGGAUCGCAAGACCUCGCGCGAUUGGAGCGGCCGAUAGCAGAUUAGGUAGUUGGUGGGGUAAAGGCUCACCAAGCCGACGAUCUGUAGCUGGUCUGAGAGGACGACCAGCCACACUGGGACUGAGACACGGCCCAGACUCCUACGGGAGGCAGCAGUGGGGAAUUUUGGACAAUGGGCGAAAGCCUGAUCCAGCCAUGCCGCGUGCAGGAUGAAGGCCUUCGGGUUGUAAACUGCUUUUGUACGGAACGAAAAGGUUUGGGCUAAUAAGCUGAGCUCAUGACGGUACCGUAAGAAUAAGCACCGGCUAACUACGUGCCAGCAGCCGCCGCCG
rnacentral:rRNA from 1 species